rnacentral:lncRNA from 1 species
AUUUAAUAUUGUUAAUUUAACAUAAAUGCUUAUAAAUAUUAUGCAUUCCAUUUUCUCAUAACAAUUCAAAGUAUUCUCAUCUAAUCCAUUCUAGUAAAUAACAACAAAAAAUUAUCAAAAUAACAACAAAUUAAAAUAACAAUUAGAGUGCAAAAAAAUUAAUUUAACAUAAUAUAUUCUUAUAUUACUCAAUAUUAUAGGUUUAUGUUAUAUUUAAUAUUGUUAAUUUAACAUAAAUGCUUAUAAAUAUUAUUCAUUCCAUUUUCUCAUAACAAUUCAAAUUAUUCUCAUCUAAUCCAUUCUAGUAAAUAACAACAAAAAAUUAUCAAAAUAACAACAAAUUAAACUAACAAUUAGAGUGCAAAAAAAAUUAAUUUAACAUAAUAUAUUCUUAAAUUACUCAAUAUUAUAAGUUUAUGUUAUAUUUAAUGUUGUUAAUUUAACAUAAAUGCUUAUAAAUAAUAUUCAUUCCAUUUUCUCAUAACAAUUCAAGUGACAAAAUUAAUUAAUUCGCCCAAAGAUUAAUUAAUUUAACAAAAAUAGUAGAAAUUUAUCUAACUACUUAAGUUACAAUUUUUAAAUAAAUAAACUUGUGUAUUAUACAAUUUAAAAAUUAAAGAAUUUAGUGAUAGAAACCUGAAUUAUAGAAGAAUUCCGUCGUCGAUCAAUUCUUUAUGUACUCAACCAGCUCAAAUAAAUUCCCUACAAAAAUAAAUUGUAUCUAAAAAUUAAACAUAAGAGGAGAAAAUAAAAAAUAUUGCAAGCAAGAAAAACUUACCGUUGUGAAGAAUGAACUUGCAAGAACUCGGGAAGGUGAAAGAGAAGAAUAAAUAAUAAUGGUGAAAGAGAGAGAACACUAGAAGGCUUUGUAAAUGGUGAGAAUGAGAUAAAUGCAAGAGAAGAAGAAGAAAACACGGGGAGGGUAUAUAAAGACCAUCAAUCUGUCGCUUACAACCGCACCGGGUUUCGAAAUAUUUAAAAAAAUAAAAUAUAUGUCGCUCAAAACCGACGCAGGAUUUAAAAUAUAUAAAAACAACAAUUAGUGUCGUUUCUAUAUGCGACACCCAUACUUUAUGUCGCUUAAAAGCGACGCCAGUAUUUAAAAUUAUUAAAAUGUGUGUCGGUUAUAAGCGACAUUAAAUGUUUACGUUGGUUUAAAAGCAACGCAGGCUUUGUAAAUCCGACGUCGUAUUCAGUGGGUGUCGCAACUCUCUUGUGCGCCACUAUAUUAUAUUAAACCGACACAACAACUGACACUAUAAGGCCCUUUUGUAGUAGUGUAAUACCUUGGAGUUAUAAACAACGUACAGUUAAAAAAAUCAUUAAAACAUGUAUGAAAAACAUAUGUAUUUUUGAAAAAUAUGUAUGUAUGUGUAUAAUAUGUAUAUUCUAUACGAAUUUACUAACUAUGCUUUCGAGAGUUAUAUUUGUGGCUAUUAAUAUUCUAUCACAUAUUGAUUUUUCCUAACAGUGAGAAAACAUUUUAUGAAGUCCUUGUAAGAGUAGCAUACAAAUGUGGUAGAGAAAAUACAAUAAGAGUAACAUUUUUGUUACCUUAUUAAGGUGAGCAUUGGUUGUAUUCUUCUGGGCCGCAAAUUUUAAUCUUGGUAUGUCUUUUAUUUUUCUUUCUUGCAUUAUUAACGUGUAAGUGUCAAAAGUGGAUAUGUCUUUCAUUAAUCUUUGGUUUUUGGCUCCAUUGCUUAAUACCAGUGUUCUAAAACUCGGGCUCGGCAGCCGCCUAGAUGGCGCCUAGGCGCUCGACGGCGGCCCACCUCCCUGAUUAUACCAAAAUCGUUCAAUAAGUUAGCCAGACUAUUAAGUGGCACUUAGAAGGCCGCCUAGCCCUCCUAGGCGGCCUCGACAGUCUCUGGGUGGUUCUGCAACUUAAGAAUUAUCGCUGGAAAGGUUGUGUAUCUCCGCCGUCUUGCUGCGAUUUCAUCGUGUCCUUGCGUCUUGUUCCCUCUCUGUGUGUGUAGGAGAGGAGUCGCAUAGAACAUUUGACGAGAGAGCUCUGUAAAAUUGCAAUCUGCAGAGAAGAAGAAUGCGACGGUGCAGAGCUCUGUAAAAUUGCAAUUAGCAGAGGAGAAUGAUGAGACGGCACAUAGGUUAUGUUGUUGGCUAGGGUUAGAGAUAGGAUUUCAAGUGGCUAACAUUCCUUUUAAAAUUAGAG